GAUGAACGCUGGCGGCGUGCCUAAUACAUGCAAGUAGAACGCUGAAGGAUGAGCUUGCUCUUCUGCAUGAGUUGCGCACGGGUGAGUAACGCGUAGGUAACCUGCCUGGUAGCGGGGGAUACCUCUUGGAAACGGUAGCUAAUACCGCAUAACAACAGUUACUGCAUGAUAAGUGUUUAAAAGGGGCAACUGCUCCACUACCAGAUGGACCUGCGUUGUAUUUGCUGGUUGGUGAGGUAACGGCUCACCAAGGCGACGAUACAUAGCCGACAUGAGGAGAUGCUCCGCCACACUGGGACUGACACGCGGCCCAGACCCCUACGGGAGGGAGCAGUAGGGAAUACUGGACAGGGGGCGAAAGUCUGAGCCAGCAGUGCCGCGUGAGUGAUGAAGGCCUUAGUGUUGUAAAGCUCUUUUAGCCGAGAUGAUAAUGACGGUACCGGGAGAAUAAGCUCCGGCUAACUCCGUG
rnacentral:rRNA from 1 species